UAGCAUAUCAAUAAGCGGAGGAAAAGACACCAACAGGGAUUGCCUCAGUAACGGCGAGUGAAGCGGCAACAGCUCAAAUUUGAAAUCUGGCCUCGGCCCGAGUUGUAAUUUGUAGAGGAUGCUUCUGGCGCGGCGCCUUCCAAGUUCCCUAGGACGGGACGCCAUAGAGGGUGAGAGCCCCGUAUGGUCGGCUGCCAAGCCUCUGUGAAGCUCCUUCGACGAGUCGAGUAGUUUGGGAAUGCUGCUCAAAAUGGGAGGUAUAUUUCUUCUAAAGCUAAAUACCGGCCAGAGACCGAUAGCGCACAAGUAGAGUGAUCGAAAGAUGAAAAGCACUUUGAAAAGAGGGUUAAACAGCACGUGAAAUUGUUGAAAGGGAAGCGCCCGUGACCAGACUUGCGCCCGGCGGAUCAUCCAGCGUUCUCGCUGGUGCACUUCGCCGGGCACAGGCCAGCAUCGGUUUCCGGAGCGGGAUAAAAGCGUGGGGAACGUGGCUCCUCCGGGAGUGUUAUAGCCCUGCGUAUAAUGCCGUUCUGGGGACCGAGGUUCGCGCUCUGCAAGGAUGCUGGCGUAAUGGUUACCGGCGACCCGUCUUGAAACACGGACCAAGGAGUGAAUGUCUUCAGCGAGUGUUUGGGUGUCCAACCCGCACGCGUAAUGAAAGUGAAGGUAGGUGACAGCUUCGGCGCAUCAUCGACCGAUCCUGAUGUUUUCGGAUGGAUUUGAGUAAGAGCUUAAGGCAUUGGACCCGAAAGAUGGUGAACUAUGCCUGUAUAGGGUGAAGCCAGAGGAAACUCUGGUGGAGGCUCGCAGCGGUUCUGACGUGCAAAUCGAUCGUCAAAUAUGGGCAUGGGGGGCGAAAGACUAAUCGAACCAUCUAGUAGCUGGUUACCGCCGA
rnacentral:rRNA from 1 species